GCUGCAUGGCUGUCGUCAGCUCGUGUUGUGAAAUGUUGGGUUAAGUCCCGCAACGAGCGCAACCCUUAUCCUUUGUUGCCAGCGGUUCGGCCGGGAACUCAAAGGAGACUGCCAGUGAUAAACUGGAGGAAGGUGGGGAUGACGUCAAGUCAUCAUGGCCCUUACGACCAGGGCUACACACGUGCUACAAUGGCAUAUACAAAGAGAAGCGACCUCGCGAGAGCAAGCGGACCUCAUAAAGUAUGUCGUAGUCCGGAUUGGAGUCUGCAACUCGACUCCAUGAAGUCGGAAUCGCUAGUAAUCGUAGAUCAGAAUGCUACGG
rnacentral:rRNA from 1 species